rnacentral:rRNA from 1 species
UACGUAGGGGGCAAGCGUUGUCCGGAUUUAUUGGGCGUAAAGAGCUCGUAGGCGGUCUGCCGCGUCGGCUGUGAAAACCCGGGGCUCAACCCCGGGCCUGCAGUCGAUACGGGCAGACUAGAGUGCGGUAGGGGAGACUGGAAUUCCUGGUGUAGCGGUGAAAUGCGCAGAUAUCAGGAGGAACACCGGUGGCGAAGGCGGGUCUCUGGGCCGUAACUGACGCUGAGGAGCGAAAGCGUGGGGAGCGAACAGG